rnacentral:lncRNA from 10 species
CAUAGGGCUCCUGAUACAGGAGACAGCAUAGUGUGUUCAGGUAACUUGGAGAAAGGGUGAUGCAACCCCAAGGUAGUUAGGAGGAUUUGGUAAUGACUCGGAUAACUGGAGAUAGUUCCCUCUCAGAUUCUUUGCUACUUUCUUCCUGUCUCUCCCUCUCUCCUAACGGAAAACAAACACUUCAGCCAGGCAUUGUUUUAAGCACUUUAUACAUAUUAACUCAACCCUAACUCAACACAAACCAACCAGUAUAUGUCAGAGAAUAUGAACUCAAGAUCUUACCUGAGGCAUCUCUGCUUUGUCUUUUUCAC